rnacentral:lncRNA from 1 species
GCAGGCGGGGGGCGAGGCCGAGACUUGGCUGGGCUGUCCCUUCCGCCGGCCUCGGCUGGCAGCUCUUCCGGCGGCGGGCGAGGCAAGCGAGCUGCUGCUUCCUCUCACCGCCUUCCCACGCCCGCUCGCACCAGCAUCUCGCGGAUGGCGGAGGCCCGGCAGGAGAGGCUGUGGCAGGUUUAACUGGGCUCUGCAGCCCCCACCUCGCCGGUGCACGGCUUCCCCAGCGCAGGUCUGGGAUGGGGAAGGAAGGGAUCUAAAUGGCAGAUGCAGAGCUCACCAGGAGCUUUAAUCUGAGAAGAUCGUAGCACUUAAUGGGAUCGGUGGACAUUGCUGGAUUAUGAUUUUUUUUUUUUUUUGGUACCGGGGGAUGGAACUCGGGUCCUUGCGCUUGCGCAGCAGGCGAUGAAACCACUGAGCGAAAUCCCCGGCCCUGGACUAUGAUUUUAACACUGGGAGAUCAAAUAAGCUUAAAAUCUGUUUGCCUCCUGAGUGCUGCGAUCACAGGUGUGGGCCACCACACCCAGCUAGUCUCUUUUCUGACACCGGAACGACCUUCGUACUUCAGCACAGGGGACUGCUGGAGGACUCAGACACCAGAGUUAGAGCUCCCGGGGUUCUGUCGCGCUGCGAGUCGGGUCACGGUGGUCACCACUGAGCUCGGAGGCCAGGACAUGCUGACUCUGGAAAACACAAUCGCCUUGGCCACCUCCCUUCCAGCUUCCUUCUAGUGUGCUGUGUCUCCAUUUUAACCAGUGAUGUGCCACGAUACUGAUACAUAAAACCCACAGGAACAAUGGCUUUUGAGUGCCUCAGCAAUUUUUAAGAAUGUAAAGAGAUUCGGAGACCGAAAGCUUGAGAACCACUACUAUAAGAAGCUGGUUUUAGGGCCAGGGAUUUAGCUCAGUGGUUUCGACGCCUGCUGCGCAAGUGCAAGGACCCGAGUUUGAUCUCCGGUACCAAAAAAAAAAAAAGUGAGUUUUACUUGGUAAUGCCAACGUGUUUGCUAAAGUGCUUGUACCAGUUCCCACCCUGGUGGCAAUGGCUCAGAGUUCCCCAUGCCCCGUAUCUAGCACACACUUGCGCUUAGCUGUCUUUGACAUUUGCCAAUCAAAGCUAGGUGUGGUGGCACACACCUGUAAUCUCAACACUCAGGAGGCUGAGGCGGGAGGAUCGCCCUAAGUUUGAGCCCAGCCUGGGCUACACGGUGAGUUCAAGGCCAGCGUGAACUACAUAGCAAGACAGUGUCUCAAAAAACAAAACAAAACCUUUUGCCAAUUGGAUGGCUGUUAUAUAGUUUGCAGUUCCCUGUUUACGAGUGAAGUUGGUUUUUCACAUGAGCCCUCUUUUGUGAAAUUCCUAUUUAUGUGUCAUGCUCUUUUCCCCGUUAAGUUUUAUGUUUCUUUUUUCCUUAUUCAUUCAUGAUUUCUUUAUAUAUUCUGGAUAUCAGUCCUGUGUCAGCAUAACAUCUCACCCAUAUUUCCUCCCAGUUUAUGUGUUGUCUUUUGUACUUGUAUUGAAUACAUGAAUCAACUUGGAGAAACUUUACAUCUUUUCAGUAAUUGUGUCUUCCCGUGAAAAAGAGUAUGUAUCCCUCCGUUUACUAGAUCUUCUUAAUAUCUCUCAAUAAACAAUAAUUUUCUCUACAAAGGCUUUGAUGUCUUAUCUUAGAUUUCUUCACAGGAGUUGUGUAUUCUUAAUGCAAUCACCUAUUGAAUUUUUAAAAUUACAUUUCCUAUUCUGAUUCUCACAGAUUAUAGAAAUGGCAUGGCUAUGUAUUGAUUUUAGAUCCACCACCACUAACAAACGUGGAUUAUUUGAGAAAGGUGCCUGCACAUCCUUUAAGUUUUUACAUCAUCAGCAGUUUUCGUUUCUGACCCUUGCAUCUUAAAGAUUUUCUUAUUUCUGUACUGACUAGGAGCUGUACAACAAUGUCGAAAAGAACUGAGAGUGAACAUCCUUGUCUUAAUCUUGAUUUAAAGGAAUGGUUUUAGCAUUUCACUGUGCAGUAUAUUUUUUCAUAAAUGGCUUUUAUCAAGGAAGUUUUCUUCUAUUUCUGGUUUGUUUGGUUGGUUGGUUUUUUUGGUGCCGGGAAUCGAACUUGGGACCUUGUGCUUGCGAGGCAGGCGGCGGAACCACUGAGCUAAAUCCCUGGUCCUAUUUCUGGUUUGCUAAUUAUUUUAUUAUGGGUAGAUGUUGACUUUUUAAUAUUGACCCAACAUCUAAUUCCAACUCUCAUACGUUGCCAGGCUCAGGGCUUUGCAUCCUCAGGUGAGGUCCAUGUGUAAGGGUCCUCCUGCCUGGUCAGUCCUGUGAUCAGCUCUCCGGCUAAAGUUAUCCCGGCCUCAUAAAAUGGGGUUUUUGGUUCUGAAACUAGUCUUUAAAGCUAUUUGGUCAUUAACGGAAGAUCUCACUUUGUUUAAAGGUUAUAGGUUCAUAAGGAUUUUGUCUUACUGACUAGUGUUGAUAAACAAUAUUUUUUUUCUACAGGUUUGUCCAUUUCGUCUUCGUUUGAAAUUGAUUUGAAGGUUUCCAUAUUAUAACAUUUUUCGUCUCCAUAGCAUCUGUGGUUAGGACCCCUUUUCAUUCCUGUUAGUUUAUUUGCACCUCUUCAUUUCUUCUUGGUUAAUCCUUGAAUAUUUCAUCCAUUAGUGUUUUGGUUUUGGUACUGGGGAGUGAACCCAGGGCUUUCGCACCAAGUUCUAUUCGCAGCUCAUUUUUAAUUGUUUGAGACAAAGUCUCACCGAAUCAGAGUUUCCUAGGCCGGCCUCAAACCUGCAGUCCUCCUGCCUCAGCCUCCGCCUGCGCCACCAUCCCCAGCUCCCAUUAAAUUUUCCAAGUGGGGCUGGUUAUAGGUUUUCUUAAUUUACAUUUCCAAAGCUGUGCUAGAAUAUGAUCUGUAAGAUUUCGUUUUUCUGACUAGCUUUAUGCCUGUCGCGCAGUUCCAUGUGUGUCCUGUGUCCUGGGGAGAAUGUGUGUUCCCCAGGGCCUGGAUAGUGCGCCGAGUUUCAGGUCAAGCUGGUUGGGCGGUGCAGACCAGCGCACUGACUCGCCCGAUCCUGGAUUUCUACCUACGGAAGCCUCACGGUCCCAAAAUGGAUGCAGCAGUGUUUGGUUGCUCCCUCUUUGGCUUGUUCCUGGGUGCACGUUAGUUUGGAACUUUCCUGUCUUCUCUGAGGAACCGAACCUUCUGUAAUUGUAGAGUUACAACAUUUGUUGCCCUCACCUCUUUUGUUCCUUAUAUAGCAGCAUUCGUGUUAGUCCUUGUCUGGUAUGUCUUAGAUCUCUCUUUGCGUUUGUAUUUUAAGUUUGCAAGAGACACACCUAAAGCAAAAGGCAAAGAAAAUAUCUUUUUAGGGCCAGGGAUUUAGCUCAGUGGUUCUGCCGCCUGCCUCACAAGCGCAAGGACCCGAUUUCCAUCCCCAGUACCAAAAAAAAAAAAAAGUAUCUUUUUUCACCUGGUAACAGUUCAUUGUAUCUAUUUGAUUACAAAUAUAAAUCCAUUUAUUUCUAGGUCUUCUUCAUAAAUCAUGGUGUUUUUUGUCCUCUCCUUUGUCUUUUUUUCACGUUCUUAUUGAGUUUUAGUUGUUUGGUGGACAGAUCUCAUUUUACAAUGGAAGCUUUCGUGCCCCUCCUCGGGCUCCCGUUUCCCUUGAUGCCACUCAGCUUCCCUGUCACGGACUCCGGGUCUCCGUGCGCUCCUGCUGCUGCUUCCCCUAAGUCUUGUUUUCCUUGGCACAUGAGGACUUGAGCGAGGGCGGAGACUGAGAUCCUUGCGGAGCUGCCACCUGGCCGUCACAGAGCCCGA